rnacentral:rRNA from 1 species
UACGUAGGGCGCAAGCGUUGUCCGGAAUUAUUGGGCGUAAAGAGCUCGUAGGCGGCCUGUUACGUCUGCUGUGAAAUCCCGGGGCUUAACCCCGGGCGUGCAGUGGAUACGGGCAGGCUGGAGGCAGGCAGGGGAGAACGGAAUUCCCGGUGUAGCGGUGAAAUGCGCAGAUAUCGGGAGGAACACCGGUGGCGAAGGCGGUUCUCUGGGCCUGUACUGACGCUGAGGGGCGAAAG